rnacentral:rRNA from 1 species
AGUGAACGCUGGCGGUAGGCCUAACACAUGCAAGUCGAACGGCAGCACAGUAAGAGCUUGCUCUUACGGGUGGCGAGUGGCGGACGGGUGAGGAAUACAUCGGAAUCUACUUUUUCGUUGGGGAUAACGUAGGGAAACUUACGCUAAUACCGCAUACGACCUACGGGUGAAAGCAGGGGAUCUUCGGACCUUGCGCGAUUGAAUGAGCCGAUGUCGGAUUAGCUAGUUGGCGGGGUAAAGGCCCACCAAGGCGACGAUCCGUAGCUGGUCUGAGUGGAUGAUCAGCCACACUGGAACUGAGACACGGUCCAGACUCCUGCGCUAGGACGCAGUGGGGAAUAUUGGACAAUGGGGGCAAGCCUGAUCCAGCCAUACUGGGUGGGUGAAGAAGGCCUUCGGGUUGUAAAACCCUUUUGUUGGGAAAGAAAAGCAGCAGUUUAAUACCCCGCUGUUCUGACGGUACCCAAAGAAUAAGCACCGGCUAACUUCGUG